UACGGGGGGUGCGAGCGUUGUCCGGAAUCACUGGGCGUAAAGGGCGCGUAGGUGGCCCGGUCAGUCCGUGGUGAAAGCGCGGGGCUCAACCCCGCGUCGGCCAUGGAUACUGCGGGGCUGGAGCACUGUAGAGGCAGGCGGAAUUCCGGGUGUAGCGGUGGAAUGCGUAGAGAUCCGGAAGAACACCGGUGGCGAAGGCGGCCUGCUGGGCAGUGGCUGACACUGAGGCGCGACAGCGUGGGGAGCAAACAGG
rnacentral:rRNA from 1 species